rnacentral:lncRNA from 1 species
CAAAAAAAAAAAAGAAUAAUGUUAGUGCCCCUGCCCCCCAACUCUCCUCCACCCCCGGGGUGCAGGCUGGCUGGGGCUCCGGGUCAACUCUCCCUUCUCCCUCUGUAGAAGCCAGACGCUUCCCCUCUCUCCCCUCACCUAAAGAAGCCAGUUUGGGGCCAGUCACAUACUGGAUUAUGGAUCUUCAGAAUCCCUGGUCUUUGGCAUUUGGAAAGGCCUGGAAUAUGCCUUUUUAGCAGAUGACUGUGAUGCAGGUGGUCUGAGAAUGUGCUCUACAUCUUGUAAAACAGGUGACAUGAAAUGGCCGUUCUAGUCUAUGCAAUGGCAGCAUGAACACAGAAAGCUGAAACGGGGGAUCAGUUCUGCAGCCAAGAGACAUUAAAGCUCAAAGAGAUCUUGCCUGGGAGUGAGGACUGUUGAUAUUGUAAAAAUGCACCACUCCUAGAAGGGAGGAACAAAGGAACUCGGUCCAAGAGCCUCUCUGAGACCUCUUCUCCCUUCUCUGUCAGCACAGGAAAAGAGAGUGGAGGGGCUGCUGCCCCAGGAAGGCUGGGCCCACCCCUCCUCACAGGCACCCUGAUGCCUGUUCAGCUUGGCUCUCUGGAUGACAGGCAGAAGCCCCAGUUGCUUCUCUUCUCCACGGUGAUUUCUGCAUACUUUAUCCAAACCCCCUCCCCACCGCUGUUCAGUUUCUGGCUCCUCUUCCUGCCCGUGCUCUGAGGCCAGCUGGGGGCCUCCCAGGUGACUCCUGCUGCUGCUGUCACUGGACCCUGACGCUGUGCCGCACCCGAAUUCCUCCGAAUGGAGCCUUGGCCAGAGCAAGGCGUGCCGUGUAGAGGAGCGGAUCUGAGCCUGGCAGGAGAUCGCUAAAACCUUUGCCCUUCACACAAACGCGGAAGCACGGGGCGGGUGCUGAAGAGCCAAGCAAGUGUCCCCCAUUUCCUUCCAAGGCAGAGCAGCAGCCCAGGGAGGCCCAGUUUCCAUCGCGGCAGAAGGGCAGAAGAGUGGGGGAGGUCCCAGGACCACAGCCCAGGGGACACUCAGGAUGCGCCAGGAAGGACAUGGCAGACAGGCCCUUUAGGUGGAAAAGCAACCCUCAGCUGCCCAGAGAGCGGCCCCUCCAGGCCCUCCCCGCCGUCUGCAAAGCUCUUCAGCUGGGAGAGGAGGAAAGGGUUUGUUCUUGACCUCCUUCCUUUCCUUUCUUCUCCACUGUCCACCAGAGAGCAGGAAGACAGGCUGAUGCUCUUGUUAAAGAUGAAGGCAUAAUUCACAUGCCAUAAAAUUCACCAUUUUAACCAUUUUAAGGUGCACAGUUCAGUGGUUUUGAGUGCAUUACAUUGUUGGGCAACCAUCAGCAUGGUCUAAUUCCAAAACAUUUCUGUCACUCCAAAAAGAAAUCUUGUACCCAUUAGCAGUCACUCCCCAUUUCCCCCUACCCCCCAGCCCCCCGGCACCCACGAAGGUGCUUUCUCUGUUUCGAGGGAUCUUCCUAUUGUGGCAAAUCCUCUGAAUGGAAUCAUACAAUAUGUGGUCUUCUGCCACUGGCUUCUUUCACUGACCAUAAUUUUUCAAGGUUCACCCACGUUGUAGCAUGCGUCAGCGCUUCAUUCCUUUCCAUGGCUGGACUGUAUUUCAUUGUAUGUCUGGACCACAUUCUGUUUCUCUAGUCAUCAGUUGAUUACUUACUUUUCAGGGCCCACUUAGCCUUUCUUCCCAAGGGCAGGGGCUCUGUUGUCCACUGUUUUGGAGUCUUCCAGCAGACUUGAUGGAGUGUACCAGUGGUUUCCUUGCUGGGCAAAUAACCAGAGGGUCCCUGGGUACGGGAAUCUCUGAGUCCUGAUCUUUGGCUCUGCUGCAGACCAGGUCACUGUAUGAUCUUUUAGCAGCCUCUUUACCUCACCUGGCCUCAGUUUCUUCAUCUGAAAAAUGAAGGGCUUGAAGCAGAUGGUCUCUAACACUUCUCCUGGCCCAACACUUUAAGAUGUUUCAGCAAAGCAGUGAAGAAGCAGCCUUCUGUGACCUUUCUGAACAAGGCAGAGGAAAGCAAGCUGUAGGCUGACAUAGUUAGGUGAUUCCAUAACAAAAUUGCGCUGUAAACAAUCAUCUGGAUCAAUCGACAGAAGGCACUUGCAACAGGUUCCCAGAUGACAGAAAACUAUAGGAAUGACAGGGAAGGAAUGAUGGGGCAGAUUAAAAUGGAGAAAUUUAACAGGGACAAAUGUAAAAGUCGGACAUUUUGCUCCAAAGUUCAACAGAACAGCUACCUGCUUUGUUGGAUAUGUUCAGGCAGUGUCCUUUAUAAGAGUUUGAUUGACUCUAAAUGAAUCUCAUUAUGAGUCACCAUUGGGACAGGCUGCCAAAAGGCCAAUGUGACUUCAGAUUAAAUCAAUAGAGGUCUACUGGCUGAAACAAGGGAGGUGACAUUAUUGAGUCCAUCCCUGGUGUAUGUAGCUGCUACCCUCUGAGAAGGAGGCCCCCAAUAGGAAAAGCCAGAGGGAGGAUGGAUAAGACAUGAAGAGCUCUAGAACCAUGGUUUGGUAGUAGGAGGGGCUCAGGGUUUGGGUCUUUAAAAGAUAAGACAGAGAGUGCUGUUCACAUCUGUGAAGGAACAUGGCAUGAGAAGGGGAGUUGACUUCCACCAUGGGGACCUGCAGGGUGACUGGGGCUGGAAGAUGAUCAAUUGUGACCCAGGACCAGGAAGAACUUCGCAGCAACAAAAGUCACAGGAAAUGGAAAAAACUCCUGGUGAAGAACACAG